GACAGAGGGUGCAAACGUUGUUCGGAAUUACUGGGCGUAAAGCGCGUGUAGGCGGCCCUGCAAGUCGGAUGUGAAAUCCCACGGCUCAACCGUGGAAGUGCAUUCGAAACUGCAGGGCUAGAGUCCUGGAGAGGAAGGUGGAAUGCUUGGUGUAGAGGUGAAAUUCGUAGAUAUCAAGCGGAACACCGGUGGCGAAGGCGGCCUUCUGGACAGUGACUGACGCUGAGACGCGAAAGCUAGGGGAGCGAACGGG
rnacentral:rRNA from 1 species